rnacentral:rRNA from 1 species
UACGAAGGGGGCUAGCGUUGCUCGGAAUGACUGGGCGUAAAGGGCGCGUAGGCGGAUAGUUUAGUCAGAGGUAAAAGCCCAGGGCUCAACCUUGGAACUGCCUUUGAUACUGGCUAUCUUGAGUUCGGGAGAGGUGAGUGGAAUGCCGAGUGUAGAGGUGAAAUUCGUAGAUAUUCGCAAGAACACCAGUGGCGAAGGCGGCUCACUGGCCCGAUACUGACGCUGAGGUGCGAAAGCGUGGGGAGCAAACAGG